CCUACGGGAGACAGCAGUGAGGAAUAUUGGUCAAUGGGCGCGAGCCUGAUCCAGCGAAGUAGCGUGAAGGAUGAAUGCCCUACGGGUUGAAAACUUCAUUUAUAAAGGAAUAAAGUGAGGCACGUGUGCCUUUUUGUAUGUACUUUAUGAAUCAGGCUCGGCUAACUCCGUGCCAGCAGCAGCGGUAAUACGGAGGGUCCGAGCGUUAUCCGGAUUUAUUGGGUUUAAAGGGAGCGUAGAUGGGUUGUUAAGUCAGUUGUGAAAGUUCGCGGCUCAACCGUAAAAUUGCUAUUGAUACUGGCAGCCUAGAGUACAGUUGAGGUAGGCGGAAUUCGUGGUGUAGCGGUGAAAUGCUUAGAUAUCACGAAGAACUCCGAUUGCGAAGGCAGCUUACUAAACUGCCACUGACAUUGAUGCUCGAAAGUGUGGGUAUCAAACAGGAUUAGAUACCCCAGUAGUC
rnacentral:rRNA from 1 species